UUGGUUUAUUUGGAGGUGUGCGUUGAAUUUGGUUUUGAUUGGUUUGCUUGGAGGUGAUUUGGUUUAUACUUUCUGG